UGAACGCUGGCGGCAUGGCUAAAACAUGCAAGUCGAGCGCGAAACCGGCUUCGGUCGGGAGUAGAGCGGCGAACGGGCGAGUAAUGCGUUUCUAACGUGCCUCGAGGACGGGGAUAGCCAGGGGAAACUCUGGGUAAUACCCGAUAACCUCACCGGGCCGCAUGGUCUGGUGAGCAAAUGUUCCGGCGCCUCGAGAUCGGGAAACGUCCUAUCAGGUAGUUGGUGGGGUAACAGCUCACCAAGCCAAAGACGGGUAGCGGGUGUGAGAGCACGACCCGCCGCAUCGGGACUGAGACACUGCCCGGACUCCUACGGGAGGCUGCAGUAACGGAUCUUCCGCAAUGCGCGAAAGCGUGACGGAGCAAUGCCGCGUGCAGGAUGAAGCCCCUCGGGGUGUAAACUGCUGUCAGGAGCUAGGACUUCCGACCAGCUCCAGAGGAAGGGCCGGCUAACUCUGUGCCAGCAGCCGCGGUAAGACAGAGGGCCCGAGCGUUAAGCGGAGUCACUGGGCUUAAAGGGUGCGUAGGCGGAGGCGUCAGUGUCUUGUGAAAUACCACUGCUCAACGGUGGAACUGCAGGGCAUACUGCGUCUCUUGAGGCCGGUAAGGGUUGUCGGAACGGUAGGUGUAGCGGUGAAAUGCGUAGAUAUCUACCGGAACGCCGAUGGUGAAGACAGGCAACUGGGCCGGUUCUGACGCUGAGGCACGAAAGCGUGGGGAGCAAACAGGAUUAGAUACCCUGGUAGUCCACGCCGUAAACGUUGUGCACUAGGUCCGGGAGGUUUUGACGCCAUCCGGGUCGAAGCAAAAGUGUUAAGUGCACCGCCUGGGGAGUACGGUCGCAAGGCUAAAACUCAAAGGAAUUGACGGGGGCUCACACAAGCGGUGGAGCAUGUGGCUUAAUUCGAGGCAACGCGAAGAACCUUAUCCUGGACUUGACAUGCACGGAUUAGUGAUCCGAAAGGUGAUCGACGCUCUUACGAGUGGAACGUGCACAGGUGCUGCAUGGCUGUCGUCAGCUCGUGCUGUGAAGUGUCGGGUUAAGUCCCUUAACGAGCGAAACCCCUGUCGUUAGUUGCUAACAGGUUAUGCUGAGGACUCUAGCGAGACUGCCGGUGUCAAACCGGAGGAAGGUGGGGACGACGUCAAGUCAUCAUGGCCUUUAUGUCCAGGGCUGCACACGUGCUACAAUGGUCGAAACAGAGCGAAGCGAUGCCGCGAGGCGGAGCAAAUCGCAAAAAUUCGGCCCCAGUUCAGAUUGCAGUCUGCAACUCGACUGCAUGAAGUCGGAAUCGCUAGUAAUCGCGUAUCAGCAAUGACGCGGUGAAUACGUUCCUGAGCAUUGUACACACCGCCCGUCAAGUCAUGGAAGCCGGGAGUACCCGAAGUCGCCACAAUUCAGUGGUGCCGACG
rnacentral:rRNA from 1 species